ensembl:lncRNA
CAAGAACACCAGCAACAUGUAAACAAAAGCCCCAGAUAAGCUAGAAAGGUUAUCUUUCUUUUAGAAGGCAUCCUUGCUGUGGAUUGAGCCCCAUACGGCUUGCAUAUUUUCCAAAGGCAGGAAAUCUCAUUCUCAUGUGCCCAGGAAUAGCACAUGCCUUUGCAUCUGCACUCAUCUCACUUAGAGCCAGCAUGCCUCUGAGCAGCAGGGCUAAGUAACAGCCACCUUGGAUAGGUAUCCCUCCAUGCUAAAUGUGUUUUAAGCCGGAAGCGUUGAGGAGUCCCUUCAGCACACACAGACACCUCAGGAGCCUGAUGCUUUCAGAAGAGCUCAAACCCUACUUAGGUGUUUAAAGAGGAAGCGGCGUUUCAGCAUUAUAUGCCUGUGGACAAAGAAUUUUCCAUCCUGAAAUGGAUUUUGUGGAGCUUGGUGAACCCACUUGGCAAAUACUCUGAUGCAUUAGUGAUGGGGAGUUCAGAAAACGCAGUGAAAUAAUCGCUUUUUAGAGCAGGGCUGGAGCAACAAGCAGCACACAAAGCCUGCAGCCAUGUGAUCACAGAUGCAGAAUAGACCAAAGACCAAAACAGCAGUGCACUGGCAACCUUGUACUCUGAGUGAGGCCUCAUGGUCAGAGGGAUAUGUUUAGGGCCCUCCACAGUGAACCUGAAGACAAGGAUAUCAGAAGACAAAUAGACCUCCAGGUAGGCCAAGGUUUCUUUGUUUACCUGUUUUCUUGUACUUUUCAAAGCAAACUGCUUAAGUCACUCUAAUCCAAUGUCAUGACUUGGGGAAGCUUGAACUGGGACUUUCCAAGCAUGUGAGAUUAGUUACAUACUAUUUAUGUUACAGCUCUGUUUUGCUCUCCUUGCUCAUACAUCCUCUUUGGGCUUGCUCUCUAUCCUGACAUUAGGCUGCAAGUAUUUUUCCUCAGGCACAGCAAGUAUAGAAGUUAGAUACGAGACUGGGAAGCAGAUGGAGCACUCACCAUCUUUUCUCACCUGAGGUUUUCUAGGGAAAGGACAGCUCCACAAUGAGGUUAUGGACAGCUUUGGAAAGUACAACACAGAAGUUCUACUGAAGUUGUCCCCCUUUCGAUCAACGUGGGGUUUUCCCCACCCCACACUUUCUAGCUCUUCCAAGCAUGGAAACUGGGAAACAAUGGAAAAAAUGAGGCAGCCUGCCCUCUCAGAAGACAUUUUGUAAUGUCACUCUGCUUGCCUGCUCACAGCCCGCAGGUGAUGUUGAUCGUGUUUACAGGAAAUGCCGUGAGUAAUUUGCAAAGUGAAAGCAGCUUACACUGGGUGAGGGCCUGUCUGAUGGAACAGAGCCAUGCUGCGUUUCUGGGCUCAUGGGCUGGAGAGGAGCAGCCUGGGAGGAGGUUGUGUAACAAUUCUUCCAAUACUGGUGUAUUGGAAGGACAGCUUGAGGCCAAUGUGACUCUGUCAAAAGGCCUUGCUUAGCAUUGCCACCUUCCUGGAGGAGGCAAAUUCUAGACCCUUUUACACCUCAUCCUUUUUGCCCUCACUCUCUUGUAUAAUCUUGAAUCCAAGAUGCAGCACAGCCUCAGCCCAACAGAACAUACAAGUUAUCUCCUGAAGGACUUGAGGCACCUCUGUCUCUCUCUUCUGGAUGUGGCUCUGGGCAGCCUGGUCUGGUGGUUGGCGACCCUGCACAUAGCAGGGGGGUUGAAACUACAUGAUCAUUGUGGUCCUUUUCAACCCAGGCCAUUCUAUGAUUCUAUGAUUCUCCCUACAUCCUUCUCCUUCCCCCAGUGUAACACUCUACUAACUGCACUCUCCAGACACAAUCUGGAAAGCAUAAGCACCACAGUGCAGAAAAGGCUUGUGCAUCCUUUGCAGAUGCCUACAGCUCCUGGAGACAGCAUGUGGCUGCUGAGCUCCCCAGGUAGUCCUGCUCAUGGCUCGGUGCAAUUCCUGAGUGUGCUGGGAGACCUCCUCCCUUCCCAUGUUUCCUUGAAAUCCUCUACUUCUCAGUCAGAGUGCAAAUCUGGGUUAUAUCAUGUAAUUUCUUCCCAGUAAAUGCUGGUCUCUCCACUCACUCUUUGCAUCACCCACUGUCUGCUGUGGUUCCCAGGCUGGUUGUGUUUUUUUUCCCAGCCUGUGAAGGUCUGACGAUGCUAGUGAAAUUACACAAGGCACAAAUGAGGAGAAUGGAGUAGAAGCCCAAAGAUGUGCCUCCUAGCAGGAUUUAUCUGGGGAGCUCCUUCCCUGUCCGCAGAGCGUAGCAACCUGCCAGGGACAUGGAGGCACAUAGAAGGAGGUGCAGAAGAAACAAGGAGGAAUGUGGAGGAAGAUGGAGGACUUUGAAGUAAUGUUGAGGGAGAUGGUUCCUUAGGAUGUGUCUCAAUGGGCAGGUGAGGGCAGACCCAAAUUAAUUGCACCCACACCACAUCACUCAGGUGCAAGGCACUUCUAGCCCAGAAGCUGUGUGACUCUGCAGGCAGCACUGUGCCAACAUGGGGCAAAACCUGCAGUUUGGCUCAAUACCCACCUGGCGUUGGAUGCAAACAAACCUGUGAGUCCUACACCAAGUCUACAUCUUGGCCUGCCUUCUUCAGUUCACUCCGUUGGUACAGCUGGGCUCUCAGUGAACCAGAAAGUGUGAGGUUUGCCAGAACUGAAGAGCGUGUGAAUGGGUUUGUGGAGGUGAGGGACAAACGUGUAUUUUUUUUUUUAAACCUGAAAAACUAGCUUACCUGUGCAUCAUAAUAGGGAUUUUGGAAUUGAGACUAUUGUAGUGGUUGUGGGCUAGAGUCAUUAGAGCAGUGCUGUGCUACUGGGACACUUAUAGGCUACCUCCACACUUACCAUUGCUCAGAAGACAGACAUUCUCUUCUCCCUUUAGCUAAGCCUGCCUGAACUGGAGGGCUUUUGCAUGACUGUGAAGGAAAGAGCUUAAUUCUUCUUUAUGACCUGCUUCAAACAAAGCUACAGCAACCAAAUGGACCGUGCUGUGUGAAACCCAACAUCAUGCUCGUGUGAGUCAAAUAUCCCCCUCUGGUGCUGGAGAGUUCAGCUAAAGAGCAAACAACGGUAAACACCAGCAGCUGAAAGUGGGUGUUCUUUUGCUUUCUUCAUGGCAACAGCCCAGCAGACUGACGGAGAUCAAAAAUUACCUUAUCACCUGGAGGUCUGCAGAGAAGCCAAGAGAUGUUGAAACCUCCACCACCUCCAACAUCAAAGGCUGCAGCAGGUAUCUUUCCAGGUGCUUUUUCACAGCCAGCCUCAGUGAAAGCUCCCAUUCAAAAGGCAGUAACUCGGGAACAUUAGGUGUAGCUUCUGGUGGCUGAACCGGUUAAAGUUACCCUUCAAUGUCACCAGAAUAGCACACUAAAAGGGGAAAUUCAAGGAGGAAAACAAAAAGAGUCCUACCUAGGGGAUUGGCUGCUUUACAGGGGCUGGUAAUGAGAUCAUACUGCCAUGAUUCAAGGUCACAAAUUUGACUUUAGAUAAGGUGUAGCAACAGCCUCAAUCUGUAAUGGUGACUGUUCAGCAGCCUGUGUGACAUUAAUGGGUAGUCUCUUGUAGCCUUUUAAUUUAACAAGGUGAUUGCUAUAAGUUUUGUAAAAAAAUACCUCCAAACACAACUACUAAAAUGAGCUGGCGUGUGAUAGUGAACAACAAAGUUCACUGAAGCCUUUUGUACUGAUGCAUUGAAUGAUGAUGUAUUCACACCACUUUGCUGUUCUUUGUUAGAGCUUUAGGGCAGAGAUGUUAACAAAGGAUGUUCUGUGUAUUUGCAACAUAACAAAAUAAAAGAUUUUUUUUCCAGUAGGGCAUAACUACUAUCACAUAUGACUCUAACUUUAAAUGUGCCAUAAGGUAGCAGCACUGUCCAGAAGCUAGGCCUCUUCUACCUUUCAGCUUGCUGAGAACAACUUGUCUGAAAAGAUGCAGGCUGCUUUCUGCUCUGUACCUUUGUGCAGGGAGAAUUCAGAGUUCCUGGUGCAGUCCCAUCGUGCUGUGCUCGCCUCCUUUAGAGUUCACUGUAUUAAAGAUGAAGGUAUUGGUAACAUUCAAUUUCAGCUUUCAUAUAUAUAUAUUUUACCUAUUGUAAAAUACUUUCAGUACUGCUGUACUGCAGCAGCCUAUUCAUUUAUGUGCUUUUAGGCACCUUUGGGUAACAGAAAUUACACCUAUCAGCAACAAUGGAAUGACAGACCAAAAACAAACCUAUCAAAUCUCUCAUUUCUGUAAAAGCAGGGCGAAAAAAGACUGAAAAUGGUGCCCUCUGCUUUCUGGUGAUCUUAUGCAUUCAUCAACAAGGUGCCCCAAAUCCAUUCUUAACUACGGCUAUAAUCUCGUGUAACAAAGGUACCUCCUGGGUACUGGUGAGAGACUUGUAGGAUGUGUUUAUUAUGAUUAAAUCUCUGAUAAGUUAAUUUUGGUUCUGGCAAAUAUUCCUAUGAUUUGCUCUGGGCAAACAAAAAAGCCACUAUACUUUGUUGCUGUAGGUGCAGUCCUGAUGUCUCAUUCUGUGUAUAAAACAGAGAUUUUUGAAUAUUGGAGAAUCUGCAGCCCAAAAAAGCCUGCUGGGGAGCAGAAGACACACUGGUAGGUGACAAAAACAGAGUUCACUGACUGCAGUUUGCAAAAUGCCAUAGGUUAUUUCUGUUUAUUGCCUGGGAUUGUACAAGAAGAUCAGAAUUUAAGCUUGGACGUUCUUGGAUAUUUUCCCCGUGAGAUUUGCGUCUGCACAGAGAGAAUGUUAUAAUAUGCUUUCUUCUCCUUGGAGAAGGGAUGAUAUCCCCUUGGCAACAUGAGUGAUCACUUAAAUGGAACAAUAACAUUAAGCAAGUGUUUGCAGAUGCCCUUCAGGGUGCUUUAGCAUCUGGAAACAAGAGAAGGAGUGGUAAGCAUUAUAUGGGUAAGCGAUUAGGAAGACAGAAAUGUGCUUGGGAGAGAGACACAUAUUUCAGAAAUGGAAUUAUUCCAUAAAAAGUGUCAAAAACGUACCUUUAAGUGAGCAGUUUGGGAGGAUGUUCUGUAGACUACUUAUGACGUGACUACUGAAUAUGAGGGAUUUGCCCCUUUCUCUGUGGUGUGAGACAUUGUCUGAGAAAAGACUGAUCCGGUUCAGGGUCUGCCCAGACAGGGAAUACCUCAGUCAGUGACUCUCAGUGAAUAACAUUUCUGUGCUCAGUGCCUUUUCCCAGUCUUGGGAGGAAAUGAAUAACAAGUACAGCUACCUUUUUGGCAUCUCUACGUGCAACAAGUUAGGGUAGCGUUUUCAGCUAAGGUUAAGGGGAAAGCUCCAGCAGGAACAAGGAGACUUGUACAGCAACUCUUGGACCCAGUUGCCAUUCAGCUCAGAAAUAGUUCUCUGCAAGGCUUCUGCUAACUUUAACAAUUUGUCCCUUGCACUGGUGGAAGGCUGUCGGGAUCUGUGGGCCCCUGGAUCCAUGGUGGUUAGGUGGAAUUGCACUUCACACAGUGCCAUCCCUUGCAGAAUUAUGGGCUUUAACUCAACUCUGUGGAUUCAUUCCUUGCUACCUCCCCACUGGCCUUUCUGGCUGCCACAAAACUCAGAUUUUCACCUAUGCAAAGUUCAAAGGGGCUGCUCACUGUGAGUUCCACUUUCCAAGGUAGCACUUUCCCUCAGACAAAAGAAUGGAAGGUUGGUGCCUCCAGCAAGGAGCAGAGAAGGGCUGGAGCACAGACCGUACUGCAGUUGAAGAAGGCAAUUACUGUUAUGAGGCCAGAACAAGCAGCUAAAAUAUGGAAGUCAGGCAACUUGGUCAAAUUGGAGUUUGACAUAAAGAACGUGAUAGUGCCAAUUCGAUGUUCUGUUUUUUUUUUCCUUGGUGGAUCAUUUUUUUCCCUGCUUUUCACAUUUUUAUUACUUUUUUUUUUUUUUUUAAACAUGAACUGUUUAGAAGGUCAAAACUUUAAGAGGCAAAACAGGUAGAGAAAUUGCAAAUAAUGUUGGUGCUCUAAUGCCUAUUCCUAAGAACCUGUGAUGUAAAAAGUCUCAGAAGUCGCAGUUCAAGUGUUCUUUGCAUGUCCUCUAUUGCAUGUCAAGCAUGCAGUAUGUCUAUUGCAUAGACCUCUACAUCUAGCUGGUCCUCUAUUGCUUUUGUUUUUAGGAUUCAUGUUUGCAUGUAGUCAAAUUUACAUGAUGUUUUAUGCAUCCAGAAGAGUUAACAUCCUCCCUUUUCUUUCACGUCGAAUGGAUGCUAUGGUUUUAUGUGGGGAUGAGCAACACUUACGACAGAUAAGCUGACAAAACACAGCAAAAUCCUGGGUGUCUGCAACAUCAACAGUUAGGCUGGUGUUUCCAUGUCCCUGCUGAGGAUGGAAAAUGUUUUGCCAUCACUCUUCCUACAUACACAGUCCCAAAGUGUUCAGAAGGGCUACAUUUCUAGUGAAAUGAUCUUCAAGUGUUGUGUUGUCAUGAUAGAGAGAAGAUGGACUCAGUUCUCAGAGACCACAUUACAAUACGGAGCUUGUAGCUGAGCUUCAGUAGGAUGUUUUUAACAGUCUGAUAUCUGGAAAGUCUUUUUUCCUAAGUGGUCAGUUACUGCAAGCAAAAUGACCUUCUCCUCCUUUUGUCAGGAUUAAUUCCUGCAAACCAUACUGUAUUUUUCUCUAUGCUUGUCUGCUAACUAUGUAGAAAGUGCUAAGCAAUCGUGCAUAAUUCAUUACUCUUAAUUAAAAUGUAAAUUUAUUGUCAGCCUUUUGGGGUAAUUAAAGCACCACUGUGAGAAUAGGUUUGUGUUCUGUAUCUUUUGCAAAAAUAAACAAAUAACGUUUUAUGUUCUGCUUGAAGAGGUGCAGUUGAUCACCAAGUGGGACGCAACUGAACUUCCAGAGAAGGUCUGUCAGUUAGCAUAUAUCUAAUAUUCAACAGGGUGUGAAUCUACUUUGCUAUAAAGUGAGCUGUCUUAUUUGCUGCGGAGUUAGAUGCUUGUGUUUCGGUUUUUGGCAUAGAUGGAAAGUAUUAUUUAUAGGUAUACUUCUACAUUCCCCCCCAAAAUCCAGACUAUUUUAUUGGCCUCCAGCUGCUCCUCAGAAGCCUACAGAGAUACAUUCGAUGUAUUGCAGUGCCUACUGUAAACACCCUAUUUACCAGAGCAUUUGCAGGUUAGAUUAGGCUUCAUAAUUUAUAGACCUUGAAGCUCCCCAUGCAGUUGGGUAUCUACGAAGUGAAGGACUAAGUGCAUGAAAAAAACAAUCUUCCACAAGGAAGUGGGGUAGUGAAAGGGUGCGCAGCGUGAGACUUAGUAGUAAUUGUAGUAGAAUUGUCCUUGAAGUUUUGCAGAAUGUAGUGACGGCGAUCUUGAGACUGUGGAUGAAGAGUGGAUAUUAGGAAACAUUUCUUCUCAGGAAGAGUGGUGAGGCGCUGGCACAGGCUGCC